rnacentral:rRNA from 1 species
UACGUAGGGUGCAAGCGUUAAUCGGAAUUACUGGGCGUAAAGCGUGCGCAGGCGGUGAUGUAAGACAGUUGUGAAAUCCCCGGGCUCAACCUGGGAACUGCAUCUGUGACUGCAUCGCUGGAGUGCGGCAGAGGGGGAUGGAAUUCCGCGUGUAGCAGUGAAAUGCGUAGAUAUGCGGAGGAACACCGAUGGCGAAGGCAAUCCCCUGGGCCUGCACUGACGCUCAUGCACGAAAGCGUGGGGAGCAACAG